rnacentral:lncRNA from 1 species
CGUCUUUUUCUCUCCUGAUGCUUCGGAUCAGUCUCCAGCUAACUGACUCUCACCGGAGCCAUAGAAAUGGAAUAAGCGAGUGGAAAGGCAAUUAGCAUGAUAUGGGUGUAGAAAUGGGCGUGGUUUGGGUGGUUUUGAAUGAUUAUCUUAUUUACUCUUCGUUUGUAGGACUAUCUGUCCUUUUUUUAUUAUGUACCAACGUUGUCUUUGUUUUUUAGAUGAGUGCCAUGAUCCUACCUAUACCUUUUUCUUUUCUUUUUAACUAUACUAUAGGAAAGCCAUUUUUUUUUUACAUGCGUUCUUUUAAGUAGCUUGGAGCACAAUGUAAAUGCUUUGUUCCAUGAAUCAUUCAGUAGCUGUACUUUUUCUAAGGAUUUCAUCUAUAUGACGUGAUGCUGUGAUGACAGAUCUCAGAUCAGCGCUUCUGUGUGCACUGUGCAGUACAUCAUCUCAUCCCCCCUGCUCCAGCAUCAGCAUUUUACAAAAACUAACUUGCUAAAAUAUAUCAAUGACAUCAUCAUCAUCACACAUGUUCAGCGCGCCGGUGUGCUGCAGUGAUGAUGAAUGUGUAGUCAGAUUUUACCUGCACACGGUGAUCAGAUUUCUCCUCUCUACGGCUCUAAUACGCGCUGCCGUUUUUUACGAGCCCCGUUGAACCCGAUGUUUAACGAUGCCAUGAUAGCCGUUUAUUUCCUCACGUCUUUUUCUCUCCUGAUGCUUCGGAUCAGUCUCCAGCUAACUGACUCUCACCGGAGCCAUAGAAAUGGAAUAAGCGAGUGGAAAGGCAAUUAGCAUGAUAUGGGUGUAGAAAAUGGGCGUGGUUUUGGGCGUAAUUUAUCAUCAACAUUGUAUCUGAAGAGGACAGCGUUGUCAUGUGCUCUCUGUAACUUUUCUCAGCGCUGGUUAGGAUUAACCAAUCACAUAUUAUUAAACAACGAUUUGGAAAAUCCGUUUAUAGAUAUUGAUGAGGCAGAUAUCUAUUUUCCAGGUAGAAAACAAUCCUUGUAUGUAACAGAUUUAACCGAUUACAUAUAUUGGUGUACACAUGUUUCCAAUAAGACAAACGCCCUGAGAGGUGAAGUGGCUUCAGUAAAGGAAUUGUCUUUUAGAGCCAAAAUGCGCCCCCCGCAGGAAGAUUAUUCUGCGCCUCAUAAGAAACUAUUAAAAGCUGAUAAAACACUGGCUGCCCAUGGCUGA